UUGUUGCAACCUUCUAAUAGCUUUACGUCUCCUAAUCUCAAGGAGAAGGGUUAGAAUGUACCGUGUUUUACGGGAGUUCUUUUCCUGUAGAGUUACAUUGGUUGCUAGAAUAACCGUAAGUCAUAGUACAUAUCAAGACCAAAAAUACCCUUGGUGUGUCUCCAUUUGAGAACGAACAUUUU